rnacentral:rRNA from 1 species
UACGUAGGGUGCAAGCGUUGUCCGGAAUUAUUGGGCGUAAAGGGCUCGUAGGCGGCGUGUCGCGUCGGGAGUGAAAGACCGGGGCUUAACCCGGUUCUGCUUCCGGUACGGGCAUGCUGGAGUGUGGCAGGGGAGACUGGAAUUCCGUGGUGUAGCGGUGGAAUGCGCAGAUAUCAGGAGGAACACCGGUGGCGAAGGCGGGUCUCUGGGCCAUUACUGACGCUGGAGGAGCGAAAGCGUGGGGAGCGAACAGG